AUUGAACGCUGGCGGCAGGCCUAACACAUGCAAGUCGAACGAGUGGCGGACGGGUGAGUAAUGUCUGGGAAACUGCCUGAUGGAGGGGGAUAACUACUGGAAACGGUAGCUAAUACCGCAUACCAUCGGAUGUGCCCAGAUGGGAUUAGCUAGUAGGUGGGGUAAAGGCUCACCUAGGCGCCGAUCCCUAGCUGGUCUGAGAGGAUGACCGGCCACACUGGAACUGCGACACGGUCCAUACUCCUACGGACGGCAGCAGUGGGGAGUAUUGGACCAUGGGCGCAAGCCUGAUGCAACCAUGACGCGUGUAUGAAGAAGGCCUUCGGGUUGUAAACUACAUUCAGCGGGGAGGCGGUACCCGCCGAAGAAGCGCCGGCUAACUCCGUGCCAGCAGCCGCGGUAAUUC
rnacentral:rRNA from 1 species